UACGUAGGCAGCAAGCGUUGUUCGGAAUUACUGGGCGUAAAGAGUGUGUAGGCGGUGCUCUAAGUUCGUUGUGAAAUCUCCCGGCUUAACUGGGAGGGUGCGGCGGAAACUGGAGUGCUUGAGCGCGGGAGAGGAAAGCGGAAUUCCUGGUGUAGCGGUGGAAUGCGUAGAGAUCCGGAGGAACACCAGCGGCGAAGGCGGCAUCCUGGACUGGUCCUGACACUCAGGAGCGAAAGCGUGGGGAGCGAUCCGG
rnacentral:rRNA from 1 species